rfam:Spironucleus salmonicida unplaced genomic scaffold scf7180000020686, whole genome shotgun sequence.
GCUUCUUUGGUGUAGUCGGUUAGCAUCUAAGACUCUGAAUCUUGUGACCCCAGUUCGAGUCUGGGAAGAAGCA